UGAUUUUUCAAGUGUUAAAGGGUGCUAUUGGAUGGACCCAUUCAAUGAAAAGCUCGGACACGUGUUCACUCAUUUUUGAUGUGUUUUCGCCAUACGCAGGCGGAUCAGAAUCGGUGGGGGGUCAGCUGUGUCCUCCCCUUGUUAGUUUGGUCGGCAGGCUUAUGGCUCUGCUUUUCCAGAUCAUAUCAAAUGCCUUUAAUAUUGCUGUUGCUUUUACAAUUCUGGCUACUAUUUCCUUCUUACUGUCCAAGUUAUACGUCAUGUUACAUCCAAGAUAGGUAAAUUGCUCGACAUUCUCCAGUUGAAUUCCAUCCAUGACAAUCCUGUUUCCAAUUUCUUUGUCACUAAACACUAUUAUUUUUGUUUUGUCAAAGUUCAUCAUCAGACCAUACCUCUUCUUUAAAUGCUUGCAGUGUGUGUUCCAAAUGCUGUGCAUCAUCUUCAAUAAAGACAAUAUCAUCAUCAAA
rnacentral:lncRNA from 1 species